AUUGCCUUCACCUGUGCUCCAUGGCUGACUGGGUCCUUUCCCAGGUGCUCAAUCAGUGCUUCAGGCCGUGACUCAACAAUUACCAUACAGAGAGAAUUCUCAGGGAAUUUAGCAUGACCUGUAAAAUUAAUAUUAGACACUCAUUAAAAAGUUUAUUCAGUAAAUACUAUGACACCCCUUAACAUAUAAGCAGUGUACUAAGGAAGCAGACAUGUACAGAAAGUCCUUGGCCUGAAGAACUGAUUUGCUAGUUUGUUGCUACACUGUAAAAAUUCACAGCAAAUAAGUUGCUAUAUUUGUAUGGAUACUACAUGACAUUUCUAUGUAAAUCACAUGUCUCUAAAAGCUCAAGGAAAAAUCCAUAGCAUUGUUUUGGGGAUAUUUACCAGAAGGAUAAGGCAAACUUAGAAAAGUUUUUCAAGGUUUUUCUGAAUGACUUACUAAAAUUAUCUUACAGUAACUUCACUAAGAAAGAAUUCAUCUGUGAAAGCAUACUUGUAACAGUAGCUUUUCAAAUGCUUUAAAUGUUGAUUUAAGGAAAAGAUUUAAGAAGUGGUAACCAACAGUAAUGGCUUUGAACCUGGUCACUGCCUGACCCAGUGAUUCAGCACCUGGUAGGAAGGCAGGGCCAACCCAGGGUAGCUCAGGUGUGUGCAGUGCCCCUGAGUGACUGGAAAGGCUGGAGCCAGGAUCUAACACUUCCCAGUCCUCAUUUAAGGGUUGGCAGUGGAGGUAAGAGUAUCUUGCUGAAGGUCCCUAUCUACUUGAGGCCUUAUGAAGGUAGGUAGUUUCUUUCUUUUAUUUCUAUGCUGAUGGCUGUUGUAUUCGAGCAAGUUCUUUUUUUGCUGCAGCUCAGGACCUUGCUGUUGUUACUGUGUUUUCUUUCUGUUGUAUUAUGUAUUUCCAUCAUAAAAAGCUUUCUGAUUUGUGUGUAAUGAUUUGCUGAAGUUAUUCUUACUCUUGAAAAGGUUGAUUGGACUCUAUUGCUGGAUGAUUGUUUGUUUGUUUUUUCUAAAGCAAUAGCUGCAACUCUGUGUUGACUGUUUCUUGUUGUUUUGUACGGGGAAGAAUACUGAUGUGAUUAUUGCUUCUCCUGCUCUGUAAAGUGAGGCAGAUGGUAAAGCAGAUAUCUCUAAGGUGGUCAUCGCUAGAGUGCCAAAGAAAAAUGCAAAGUGGGGCUACACAGACCAGCAGACACCAUGGCCAUGUUAGCUCUAUGGAAAGUAUCUUCUUGAGAUUAUCACUAAGUUCUUCUGUUACUACUUAAAUGAUAACCCAUUUCAGGGUGAUCUUGUCCUGCCCCCCAGCACCCUGCUUAUCGAGCCUGGUUGGAAAGCCCCUGCAAGUCUGAAGUCAGAUUCAGAAGAAUCAAGGAAGCAUAAGCUGUUCUAAUUGCUAGAGCCCCAGAGAUCCAAGACUGGAUAAGGGAUUAAUAAAAAGAGGAAAGGAACUCCAACCAUGAACUUAUGUUAAUUAAAGGCAAAAGAGAUGUGGAUACAAUUUUCAGGUCACUGCAUAUCUGCUAUUCCCAGGGCUCACUGUAGGGACUUAAUCCUUAUCUAUCUUGACUGCACACUACAAGGGUUAUUUGGCAUUUCUUCAUAAGCUAUAAGAUAUGAAAUGGGCUAAUAAAUUAUGAGAGUCCUUAAAAAGUAUUAAUUGCUUAGAAAAUUAGUAAUGUAUGAAUAACUUAGUUCUGAAAAUCAUACACUAUGUUUAAGCAUUUAUUUUAAAUCACGCCAAAUUUCAGCAAUAAACACCUAAAUUCCCAUUUUACAUGGAUCAGCAAAAAGACAGACUAGAGGCUAAGAAAGAUUAGCAGUUAGAGGAAAACAUAAUUGUAUGACUACUCCCUUAUGCCUGAGGUUUUACUCAGAAAGAAUUCUUUUUAAUGCUGCUUUUGAAUUAUUUCUCUUUUGAUGCCCUAACUUGAAGAGAGCUGGCUGCCACUUACCCAGCAGCCAGAAUGGGCAAAAAGCAUCUCUUUAUUGACUUGUGUCUGAUGUUUUUGUGAGGGCCCUGAAUGGAGCAAAACACCAAUAGCCUCUGGGCUGGUCCUCAGUGGGAAGCUGGGCACUGGGAGUGUGGAGGGGACCUGGAGCACAGGUGGACUUCCUGCCUUCUACCCAACAAGUGGGAGCAGCACCUGCUGCAGGAGUGUACCAAAAGGGGGCCUGCUCAUUUUUGUAAUUUAUGAUGUAAGAGGAAUAUGGCAACUUGGAGUAAACAAUUACAGUUGCCCUCCUAGGGAAAAAUGAAGGCUGUAGUGCUACCUGUGUGAACAUGUCAGGAGUGAGGCAUGCUACAGGGAUGAACAAAGGCUGCAGACCAUGUGCUACAACCCUUUCAGUAGUUUUGAAAGGCACCAGCAGAGCAGCUCACAAGCGUUAACCUGGAUGAACUCUUAGAAGUAUCAUUACAUGUGUAAGCUUGAGACAGACUCCCGAGGGGGAAAGUUGGUUUACUACCACUAAUUGAGAUACAUUCACAUAGCCGCAAAAUAUUCUCCUGGGGCAUUCCUACUGUUUGUAAAAUAGCAGUCAAUUUACUAAGGCAUGUGCAACAUCUACCACAUGUUACAUCUAACCCAGGGAAUAUAUUUCUAGGAGUUCAUUAUACAAAAUUAAGACUACAGUUAACAACAACAAUAAAAAAAAGCAAAACUGUUGUGCCUAGGAAGACUGGCAACCAGAUUCUUGGAGGAAAAUGGCAGGCUGUAAAUGAAUCUGUGAUAUUGGGUAAUUCCCUGAAAGCCUGAAGGAUUUGGCUUUAUGACACAAAUUCUUCUCUCUGGAAAUGUGGCCUCCCUGCACAUGCUGUGUGGAGGCUGGAGCUGGAAGCUGUCAGCUGUCUGGCAUGCAAGGUGUCAGGCAGUGGCGUGCACUAGCAGCCAGAUCCCAUCCAUCCUGCCAGGUAGAGAACUGAGAGGAAGGGGUUCUCCACCAUGGAAAAUCUUCUAGCCCACUUGACAGCUGGUAUCCUUGUACACCCUGUGGCUGUGCUUACUCCACCAAAGUUCUGCUAGAGAAAGCUUUAUAUUAACACACACUGUUUACUAACACCUUUUCAGAUCCUAGUAUAACCAAGCUGCUAAAAAUUUGCAGUCAUUAGCUGGUUAAAAUGAAGCCUAGCAUGAAGCCCAAGGUCUAGCUUGAUAAGUCUAACGUGAUAAAGUGCAGGCUGUCAUCACAGGAAUGCAAGCAAUUACUGGGUGAUUGCUCACAAUUUAAGUGCCCCAUUAGGAGUAAUUAUACCUGUAUUAAAUUUAUUUGUUUUUAAAUAACCAGUAUGUUACGAAACACUAUUAUUUACAAAGCUAUUUGUAUUCUGGCAUGUUUAAAUGUGAGGCUUUGAAAACGUAACUAAUUUCAAACUACUUCCUUUUACCCUCAUCAAGCCUGCUCUUCUUUGAGGCGGGCCGUUGUAACCUCCUGCCUUUGUUAUUCACCCUGCGCAACAGAAAGCAGCCUGAAAAAGAACUGGUCUCCUCUUGGAUAAAGUGGAAACACCUUAGAAACUGAAGUUUCUGCAAUUUCAAUUUGGCAAGAUUUUACACAUGCCUCUCCUGACACUUUGAGGCUUCAAGAAAUUUGC